rnacentral:tRNA from 1 species
GGGGCCAUAGCUCAGUUGGAAGAGCGCCUGCUUUGCAAGCAGGAGGUCGCCGGUUCGAGCCCGGCUGGCUCCA